rnacentral:rRNA from 1 species
CUUCGGUGAUAGUGGCGGACGGGUGAGGAACGCGUGAGAAUCUGCCUUGAGGUCGGGGACAACAGUGGGAAACUACUGCUAAUACCCGAUGAGCUGAAAAGUAAAAGAUUAAUCGCCUGAAGAGGAGCUCGCGUCUGAUUAGCUAGAUGGUGGGGUAAAAGCCUACCAUGGCGACGAUCAGUAGCUGGUCUGAGAGGAUGAGCAGCCACACUGGGACUGAGACACGGCCCAGACUCCUACGGGAGGCAGCAGUGGGGAAUUUUCCGCAAUGGGCGAAAGCCUGACGGAGCAAUACCGCGUGAGGGAGGAAGGCUCUUGGGUUGUAAACCUCAAAACUUAGGGAAGAAGAAAGUGACGGUACCUAAUGUAAGCAUCGGCUAACUCCGUGCCAGCAGCCGCGGUAAUACGGAGGAUGCAAGCGUUAUCCGGAAUCAUUGGGCGUAAAGAGUCCGUAGGUGGCAAUUCAAGUCUGCUGUCAAAGACCGAAGCUCAACUUCGGGCCGGCGGUGGAAACUGAAGAGCUAGAGUAUAGUAGGGGUAGAGGGAAUUCCCAGUGUAGCGGUGAAAUGCGUAGAGAUUGGGAAGAACACCAGUGGCGAAGGCGCUCUACUGGGCAUAUACUGACACUGAGGGACGAAAGCUAGGGUAGCGAAAGGGAUUAGAUACCCCUGUAGUCCUAGCGGUAAACGAUGGAUACUAGGUGUAGUCUGUAUCGACCCAGACUGUGCCGAAGCAAACGCGUUAGGUAUCCCGCCUGGGGAUACGCACGCAAGUGUGAGACUCAAAGGAAUUGACGGGGACCCGCACAAGCGGUGGAGUAUGUGGUUUAAUUCGAUGCAACGCGAAGAACCUUACCAAGGCUUGACAUCCUGCGAAUUUUAGGGAAACCUAAGAGUGCCUUAGGGAACGCAGAGACAGGUGGUGCAUGGCUGUCGUCAGCUCGUGUCGUGAGAUGUUGGGUUAAGUCCCGCAACGAGCGCAGCCCUCGUCCUUAGUUGCCAGCAUUAAGUUGGGGACUCUAGGGAGACCGCCGGGGAGAACUCGGAGGAAGGUGGGGAUGACGUCAAGUCAGCAUGCCCCUUACGUCUUGGGCUACACACGUACUACAAUGGUUGAGACAAAGGGAAGCGAAACUGCGAAGUGAAGCGAAUCCCAGCAAACUCAGCCCCAGUUCAGAUUGCAGGCUGAAACUCGCCUGCAUGAAGGAGGAAUCGCUAGUAAUCGCAGGUCAGCAUACUGCGGUGAAUCCGUUCCCGGGUCUUGUACACACCGCCCGUCACACCAUGGAAGUUGGUCACGCCCGAAGUCG